AUAUCCCACACUUGCUUUGAUAGCGAAAGAUGUCUUGCCAAUUCAAGUGUCAACAGUUGCUAGUGAGAGUGCAUUUAGUGCAGGAAAAAGAGUCAUUCACCCUUGUAGAUCAUGUCUCCUUCCUCAAACAAUGGAGUCAUUGAUGUGCCUUCGAAACUGGAUAAGAAGUGAACCAAUUGGCAGCAUUGAGUAUGAAGCAAGUCCUGCGGAGCUUGAAUUUUAUCAAGAGUGUGAAGAAGAAUAUAAAAGAAAAAGAGCAAAUACUAUCUCUACAAGUUCAACCAUCUCACCAAGUGUUCCUGAAGCUCCUCAAACGAAUAAAGGAAAAGGAAUUGUGAUUCAAUGAGGAUUGUUGUCGGAACUUGGGCGUUGGAAUUUGAAAUUUAUUGCGGAUGUGUGCAAUCUGUGCAAUUUGUGAAAUCUGUGUCUGUGCAAACUGCAAUCUAUAUUCUAUGCAAUUUUUUUCAAACUGCAAUCUGUGCUAUUUUUUUUUUCAGUCUGUGCAAUCUGUGCACUGCAAAAUGCAAACUGCAAUCUGUGCAGUUUUUUCAAA